rnacentral:rRNA from 1 species
CCUACGGGUGGCAGCAGUGGGGAAUAUUGCGCAAUGGGCGAAAGCCUGUCGCAGCGACGCCGCGUGAGGGAUGAAGGUCUUCGGAUCGUAAACCUCUGUCAGCAGGGAAGAACGGUCACUGUGCUAAUCAGCACUGAAUUGACGGUACCUGCAAAGGCAGCACAGGCUAACUCAGGGUCAGCAGCCGCGGUAAUACGGCGGGUGCGAGCGUUAAUCGGAAUUACUGGUCGUAAAGCGAUCGUAGGCGGUAUGUCAAGGCAAGGGUGAACUCCCCGCGCUCAACGUGGGAACUGCCUUUGAAACUGGCAAACUGGAGUGUGUGAGAGGAGAGUGGAAUGCCAGGUGUAGGAGUGAAAUCCGUAGAUAUCUGGAGGAACAUCAGUUGCGAAGGCGACUAACUGGCACAUAACUGACGCUGAGGAGCGAAAGCGUGGGUAGCAAACAGGAUUAGAUACCCGGGUAGUC